CUUGAUUAAACCAUAAGAGGUCCAGCCUGCCCAGUGACAUUGUUCAACGGCCGCGGUAUCCUAACCGUGCGAAGGUAGCGUAAUCACUUGUCCUUUAAAUGAAGACUAGUAUGAAUGGCCCCACGAAAGCUAUACUGUCUCCUUUUUCUAAUCAGUUAAACUAAUCUCCCCGUGAAGAAGCGGGGAUAAACAUAUAAGACGAGAAGACCCUAUGGAGCUUCAAACAACUGAAACACUUGUAUAUCCUCCCCUCACCUGCCAACAUUUAACCUCACAUUUUGUUUCUAGUUUUAGGUUGGGGUGACCACGGAGAAAAAACUAACCUCCACGACGAAAGAGACAUCUCUAAACAAAAAGCCACAUCUUUAUGUAUUAACACAUUAACCUUUAUUGACCCA
rnacentral:rRNA from 2 species